AGAUGCGUGAUUGGCGUACGCGUGUGUGCGUGAAAAUCCAUAUCGCUGAGAAUCUACGCGAAAAUGAUGUCUUAUUUUCGCCCGUUGACAUCAUGCAAUUCAAAGUCAUAUCUGAUAUACGCAGUGUCCUAAAAUUAUCGAAUGUUCUUUUAACUAUAGCUUUCCUCGAUCGAUAUAAAGAUGAUUUUGUAUUAAUAAAAAUAUUGAAAUUUUUACUUUUAUUACUUUCAAACUUUAAUUGUUGCGUAUCUCUGUAAUUAAAUAUAAAUUAAAAUUUCUAAAAAUAGAUUCCUUUCGAUUAAAUAUUUGAAGAAUUGCACGACAUUAGAUUAGACUUGAAAUUACGAUUCAGUAUUGCAGUUUGACGAUAACAGAUUAAGAAGAUUUCUCAAGACGCAACACAACAGAAAACGAUAUAGCGCGCGCUAAGUUCUCGGAUCUUAUUGGAUACUAAGAAAUCAAUAAAACUUUAUUGCAAUUUGUCAUCAUUUUGUAAUCGAGUAUAGUGCAUGUUUGUGCUUGUGCAUUAAAAUGGCGAACGUACAAGUCCUUUAUGGCGUGUGUUUAAAUGACUCGAUGGCGAUGCUUCACGUCCGCAACGCGUGCAAAGAUGAAGAAGGUUUUACAGCGCAAUUACUGAAAUUUACAACGAGACAGAACUGUCUCGAUUUUAACGUCGACGGGAUUAACAUCGCGCUACGACCGCGUUGUGCAAACACAAGUUUCGUGCUCAUUGUUUUCGUCGCAAAUAUACGCCCGUUUGUCGUAAAAUAUCCGAAAAAUAGACUCGAAGCUAAAGGACAAUGACGAAGAUACUUAGACUCAGACUUUUCAAUAAAAAAUGUUUUAAAACCAAUGGAAUUUUACCGAAUCGUCUAGUUUUCCGAAAAGAAAAGACGAGACACGCAUAUGGUACGGUUAUGGUGAUGUUUGCAUUUCUGCAAUGUAACACGACGGGAUCGAAACUUUUUAUUUCAAUAUUUACAUUGCGGCCGUUCGGCCAUGAAUGGAACGUUACGAGACCUUGAAAAAAAUGAUUUAUAUCGGGAUGGCAUUCGGAACUAAAACCCGUGCUGCUCUUUUUACCCGAGUAAGACCAUCUUUGACGGUGAGAUUUUUACAAGAGUUCUCAUCUAAUAAAAUCUUAUUGACAUAUGAUACACGCUUUAUAUGUAUAUUUUGUAUUCAUUCUUCAUUCUUAUUGUAAGUAAAUCAAAUUUAAUUACAAGAUUUUAGGGGGAUAUUAAAUUCAUAGAUGAAAAUAUGUGCGAUAUUUCUUAAAUUAAUCUUAUGUGAAUUUUUUGAUAGAGUUUUAAUUUCGUACUUAUUAUACUGAUUCCUUAUUCGGAUCAAAUUAGGAAAAUGUUAAACAAAUCAUGCAAUUACAGGGAGAAUUCUAUCAAAUGUAUAUUCUACGCAUAAAUACUCCACAUUUAUCAAAGAAUUACAAGAGAUUACUUUCAAAAUUUCCCUUUUCAGUUGCCACAUUUAUUUGUGAAUCAUCAAUCAAAGAUUUUCAAACUGUUUGAACGAACAAAUAAGAAUUCCGAUCGCCGCUAUUCCCUGCUUAUUUCUGUGUGAUACAUUAAUUUAAUAUUUUUGAAAAAUAAGCUUUGUUACUUCCGAAUAGAUCGACGCGAUAAUCGAAGGGUGAUGUCGCCGCCGCCGACGCGCGACGGCGCAGCGCGAAAGUCAGUCGCGAUGCGAGGACCAAUAAUUAACGUACACGACAAACAGUAUUAUCGUCAUUGCCUGAUAUUAUUCCCAUUAUCUUAUAUGUACGGCGGCUAUGUGCUUAAUGAUUAAUAAAAUAUUAUCUGCGCUCAGGGGAUAUCUUUCUUCCUGGCGGCAAAUAGUUUCGUGCCAGACGCCGCGAGAAGCACCGAUGCCGAUGUUGCGCGGUCUGUGAUCUAUCAGGUGAAAAUAAGACCGAAGUCAGACUUGAUGAAUCGUAUUCGAAAAUAGAGCGCGUCGUGAACGUGAUCGAGAAAAAAAGACAUGUUCAAAAUAAAAAGUCAUUCCAUUUCUAUGGGAGAUGUGUCAAGACAGUUUAUAGUGACCGUGGCUUUCGAGACAUGAUGGAUAUGUGUCAUGAUCGAUAUAAAACUGAAAUGAAAUUGUCGUAAGUAUUCGCAAUCCAAAACUUAACGGAAAUAGAAUGGAUGCGCACCGACGAUGAAUAUAUUCUGAGUAUAAGAUAAUUGCGAAUGGUUAUAAAAAUCGGGAUUGGAAAAAAUUUGUACGAUACUUGAAGCAGUACGUAUAGGUGCGUCAGAAAUAAAAUAUGAAAAAUAGAAAUAUGAUGAAGAAAUAAAAUCAUAUGAACAUGGGCAUCCUUAUCUAGAAAGAAAGUCCGUUCACAGAGCGUAAUCUCCCGUCGCAUGUUCCGUCGCAUACCGUCGGAAUAACUUGAAUUAUCGAUUUAAUAUUUACAUUAUCGACAACGAUCUUGCAAUCGAGCAAUCUAGUCACUGUUUGGAAUAUGUGUCUCGCUCUUAAGCCAGACACGGGUAAAUUAAUUAAAUAUUAAAAUAAUUAAUAUGCCAUUAAGUGAGAGUGCUCAAAGGUCUGCUCAAAUAUUUUUGAUUGCGUAUGUUGGAUAUGUUACGUAUAAUUUAAUGAAUUCAUAUGAUUUCAACGAUUCGUGACGGUAAUACUGUUCGCACAAGUUUUGGGAGGAGAGGAUGCACGUGCGACAUGUCUUUGAACAGAAUUAUUCCCAUAACGACGAACCAAGAUCUUGAAAAAGAGAAAUAAAGAGAAAAAGAAGAGGAAAAAUCUAUAAAAGAAAGAGAGAGAGAGAGAGAAGGAAAGAUGGAUUAAUCGAAUCGGCGAGACCUGUGUCUAGAUUUUGACGUCGAGAUCGCAUCGACGAGGAGGAGGAAGCGGAUCGCGUACAAAACACAAGUGUCGGAGCGGGCCGAACAUAAAACACAAGUGUUCCUUUCGUAUACAGCGUUGCUCGCAUUACCACGGAUGUUCGCUUUCGUUCGGCUCCUUCUCGCAUGCGGUUUUUUCUCUCUCUUUCAACAGCGAUCAGGACCUCAUAUUUAUGAUGAUUCAUAAAAUCUCACGUGGAUUGCCUCAACAUAUAUUUAUUUUCGUGGAGCUCCUUGACGAAGGGAUCGGUACUUUACCGUGUACAGGCGCAUACCUAUCAUUCUUUAUCAUUUUGUCGGAGGAAGGGGAACGAAGCUUGAAGACGGAGGGUUGCAGUCAUGGUUACAGAGCACACACUAGGGUACCGCUGAUAAGAGGAUCAGCUUUUGUGGAUCUCAUGAUAUCUACGCCAUUGCAAGCAAAAGUGGAUAUAUGUGGCUACAAAGAUUAACGCAGACAUUGCAUUAUCACCGAAAAUACACAAGGAUGAUUCUUUCGGUCGUUCACUGACUCUUCGCCUCUCAUCAACUGGUUGUUUUUGUGAACGUUACAGAGGGCCCAUGUUAAACGUGCACUGGUAUGUGUAAUUUAAGUAAUCCACUUCGAUAAUUCUAAAAGUCCGUUAACUUUUAAAUAACACAAGAAAUACAUUUCUGUAGAAAAAACAUAGCUCACAUGCUUUAUAUUAUGCCAUUGCAUAUAGGCAAUAAUAAUGCACAUUGGAUCUAUCUUUUGCAAUUUAUUAUAGAAUACAUACCUACGUAAAAUAUCGUACUCUUUCUUGCUAGUAAUAAAAACUACAUUAUAAAUUUGUAAUUGUGUAACUUUACUAAUAAUCUAACAAUAAAUUUGGAAAAAAUG